rnacentral:rRNA from 1 species
AUGGCUGAGAGCAGUUCAGCCAUGACCGCAACAGAUGAGGACUAUCUAGUCAUCGAAGAUGAAGAUUGCUAUAGUGAUGUUCCUGAUGAUGCCAUGAAUUGGGUUGUGGAUUCAGGUGCGCCCUUCCACAUCACAUCACACAAGGUGUAUUUCACCUCUUACACUAGUGGUGUUACUGGCCAAGUGAGGAUGGGAAAUAGUGGUUCGUCGGCAAUUGUUGGCAAGGGCUUUAUAUGCAUUAAAACAAACACAGGUUGCAGAUUGGUGCUCGACGAUGUGAGGCAUGUUCCCGAUAUAAGGCUGAAUUUGUUGUCAGUGGGCAAGCUUGAUGAUAUCAAACAUCCUAGUUAUUUUGGUGAAGGAAAAUGGAUGCUCACCAAAGGCUCUUUGAUUGUGGCUCGAGGAAGUAAGCAAGGUAAUCUCUGUGUGACUAAAACCAAGUUGUGCAAUGAGGUGUUGAACAUUGCUGAAAAAGACACUUAG